rnacentral:tRNA from 1 species
AAAGAAUGUUUAAAGAAACAAUGUAUAAAAACUUAUGUAAAAGAAAGAAAUAAUAAAUACAAUAUACAGCCAA